UACGAAGGGUGCAAGCGUUGCUCGGAAUUAUUGGGCGUAAAGGGUUGGUAGGUGGUCUUGUUUGUCUAAGGUGAAAGCCCAUGGCUUAACUGUGGAAGUGCCUUAGAAACGGCAAGACUAGAGUCCUAGAGGGGUUUGUGGAAUUCCCGGUGUAGCGGUGAAAUGCGUAGAGAUCGGGAGGAACACCAGCGGCGAAGGCGGCAAACUGGAUAGGCACUGACACUCAACAACGAAAGCGUGGGGAGCAAACAGG
rnacentral:rRNA from 1 species